UCCUAAGCUUGAAGGUCAUAGCAGAAGAACAUAGCAGCCUCUACAGCUCUUUCAAUCAACACAGCCAGGUGACAGCCAUUUGAAGCUUCCUCAGUGCAUUAGUUGUAAGUGGAGACUAAAUUUUUGUGGUUAAGGUCCAAAUAAAAUUGCUGCACACAAAAGUUAACCUCCUCAAAAGCGAACAACUAAUUGUUGCUUUUUCUUGGAUUCUGCAUCACUAAAGGUUAAGGUCUGCCCGCCAUCUCCAUCAUACAUGAAAUACAAAGUCAUAAAAGCUCCUGGCAUGCCACAGGAAGGCCAAAUAUAGUCCCUGCCCAGAAAACAUUGAAGGAAGUCAUUAUAGCAGCCACUGUUGCCUCCUCGGAAUCUGCUGCUGGAGGCAGUUUUAGUAGUCUGAUUAAUAGUAGGGCUUUGAGAAACAUUUCAGGAGACUCAUCAAGAAAAGCAUUAA